CGGCUUUAUUCCAUACAAGUUAAACUACUUUGUCUUCCCACCAUCUUCAAAAGGGCAGUCCUAGUUUGAGAGAAGUAUCCGAGCUAUCAUCUUCAGCAAGAGGGCCACUGCUGCAGCUGCAUACGUUGGUGGCGGAUUCUGAUGACAUGCCUUCUUCCUGCUGGACAGCCAAAUCCGAAUCCAAAAGAACUGGCCUUUUUCCCUUGCACAAUGUCAUCAUCUUCUGUUUUAGCGCUUUAUUCUCUUCUAGCAGAAGAGCUCCCUUCUUUUCAAGUGCAGAGAUCUCAUUCAUCAUCUUAUCUCCUUUAGUUUCAAGCACACGGCUAAGUCCUGUUUCAAGCAUUUUUUCCAANNNNNNNNCAAGUCCUCCAUGUUUAAUCCUUGCAGAUCCUCUCCCCUCAUCUGCCUGAGUUGAUAAGUCUUUUCAGCCACCUCCUUGCUCAACCGCUCGUGAUUGCUAUUCUGUAGCUCCAACUCAAGAGAUGNNAUUUAUCGAGCUUAUUGGAAUGCAGAUUAUGCCUUGCAAUUAUGUCCUUCAUACUGGAGCUGCAAUACUCAAACAGCUUGCCAGUAGCAGAGAAAAUGAUGAGCGCAAAGAACAGAAAGCUCUUCAGCUUUCUUGAAAAGACCUCGUCUCCUCUUGGAAAAAGUCACUUGCCUGGCUGUGAUGUUGUCAAU
rnacentral:misc_RNA from 1 species